rnacentral:rRNA from 1 species
AUUGAACGCUGGCGGCAUGCCUUACACAUGCAAGUCGAACGGCAGCACGGGUGCUUGCACCUGGUGGCGAGUGGCGAACGGGUGAGUAAUACAUCGGAACGUACCUUAUCGUGGGGGAUAACGCAGCGAAAGCUGUGCUAAUACCGCAUACGCCCUGAGGGGGAAAGCGGGGGAUCGAAAGACCUCGCGCGAUUAGAGCGGCCGAUGCCUGAUUAGCUUGUUGGUGGGGUAAAAGCCCACCAAGGCGACGAUCAGUAGCUGGUCUGAGAGGACGAUCAGCCACACUGGGACUGAGACACGGCCCAGACUCCUACGGGAGGCAGCAGUGGGGAAUUUUGGACAAUGGGGGCAACCCUGAUCCAGCAAUGCCGCGUGAGUGAAGAAGGCCUUCGGGUUGUAAAGCUCUUUUGUCAGGGAAGAAACACCGGCUCUAACACAGUCCGGGAAUGACGGUACCUGAAGAAUAAGCACCGGCUAACUACGUGCCAGCCGCCGCCGUAA